rnacentral:rRNA from 1 species
CUACGUGCCAGCAGCCGCGGUAAUACGGAGGGUGCGAGCGUUAAUCGGAAUAACUGGGCGUAAAGGGCACGCAGGCGGUGACUUAAGUGAGGUGUGAAAGCCCCGGGCUUAACCUGGGAAUUGCAUUUCAUACUGGGUCGCUAGAGUACUUUAGGGAGGGGUAGAAUUCCAGGUGUAGCGGUGAAAUGCGUAGAGAUCUGGAGGAAUACCGGUGGCGAAGGCGGCCCCCUGGACAAAGACUGACGCUCAGGUGCGAAAGCGUGGGGAGCAAACAGGAUUAGAUACCCUGGUAGUCCACGCCCUAAACGAUGUCAACUAGUUGUUGGGGAUUCAUUUCCUUAGUAACGUAGCUAACGCGUGAAGUUGACCGCCUGGGGAGUACGGUCGCAAGAUUAAAACUCAAAGGAAUUGACGGGGACCCGCACAAGCGGUGGAGCAUGUGGUUUAAUUCGAUGCAACGCGAAGAACCUUACCUACUCU